rnacentral:lncRNA from 1 species
GGGGCCCUGCGCCUCCCCUGCCCGGAGCUCCGCGACUCCCCGGCCCGCGAUGGCGGCAGCGGUGGCGGCGGCGGCGAGGAGGUGGAAGAGGAGGAGAUGCUGGCGGGCCGCUGCUGCUGCUGCUCUGGCGACGGCGGCCCCGCUUCGUUUCGUUCCUUCCUUCCUUCCUCUCCCUUCCUUCCUUCCUUCCUUCCUUCCUUCCUUUCUUUCUUUCUUUCUUUCUUUCUUCUUUCUUUUCUUUCUUUCUUUCUCUUUCUGUCUUUCCUCUUUCUUUCCUUCCUUUCUUCUUUCCUCCCUCCUUCUAUCCUCUUCCCUUCCUUCUUCCCUCCUUUCUUUCCUUUACUCCUCCCUCCCUCCUCUCAUCUUCCCUUCCUUCUCCCCUCCUUUCUUUCCUUUACUCCUCCCUCCCUCCUUCUGUCCUUUCUUUCUUUCCCUCCUUCCUCCUUCCCUUCUUUUUCUCCCCUCCCCUUCCCUCCCUCCCUUUCUCUCAGUCCUUCCUUGCCUUCUUUCUUUUCUCCCUCCCUCUGUCCUUCUUCCUUCCUCUUCUUCUUUUCCUUUCCUCCCUUCCUUUCCUCCGAUGGAGGGAGGGAGGGAAGAGGAGGAGGAGGAGGCGGCCCCUCCUACUCGCCCAGGGAGCUCGGCAACUUUUCGCCCUCAGACAAUGGGCGCCGCGCGCGGGGCUCCCACGCGGCCCGCGCCCACCCGCGCCCGGCCAGAGCCAGCCAGGCAAGGCAAGGCAGUGAGGGGAAGGCCAGCCUUCCUUCCUUCCUUCCUUCCUUCCCAGCCUUCUCUCCUCAGGGCGGAUUUCCUCCUCCCUCGACUCGCCACAAAGUUACGCCGGGCGCUUGGCAACUGUUGCUCCCGGGGCCGCCUAGCUGCCGGGCCUCGCGGGGCGGCUCCUCCGCGGGAGAAGGCCGGCGGUGGCUUCCAUUCGCCGUCCGAGAAGCCCCUUUCCCUCAGGGGAGGCCUUCGCCUAUCCCGGGAGUUGCCGCCGCCGCCGCCACCACCACAGCCGGGGUGGGUUUUUGGUUUUUGUUUUGGUUUUUUUCAACGGCCGGCGGCGGGGCUCCUUGGUGGGCCGAGCGCGGCCGGCUGCAUCUCUCUUUCUCUCCGUCUCUCUCUCUCUCUCUCUCUCUCUGGGCGGGCGGUGGGCGCUCCUCCCGGCCGGGCCUGGGGUCAGCAGCUCCGGCGUUGCCUGGCGCACGCAGCCAUCUUUGCUGCGCUGGGGCUCGGGCGGGGGCCGCC